rnacentral:rRNA from 1 species
UACGUAGGGGGCAAGCGUUGUCCGGAAUCAUUGGGCGUAAAGGGCGCGUAGGCGGCCUGAUAAGUAGGGGGUGAAAUCCUGCGGCUUAACCGCAGGGCUGCCUUCUAAACUGUCGGGCUAGAGCACGGUAGAGGCAGAUGGAAUUCCCGGUGUAGCGGUGGAAUGCGUAGAGAUCGGGAAGAACAUCAGUGGCGAAGGCGGUCUGCUGGGCCGUUGCUGACGCUGAGGCGCGACAGCGUGGGGAGCAAACAGG